GUCGGCUGCUUGGGAAGAAUAAAUUCCCAAGAGUGAGAUGACGGAACAAGCAUUUGAACAUGUUUAUGGAUUUAAUACUUUAAAAGGAAGUGAAAUUGGGAGAGUUUGUAUCUUACAUCACAGUGGAUAACUUUCACAGCUGGCAAGAACAGAUUAACUACAUGAAUUAUCGUUUAGGUGGACCAAAAUUAAAGACAAAUGGGGAGUGACUGCUAAGGGGGAC
rnacentral:lncRNA from 10 species